CCUUUGGACUGCUAUACCAAACGGGAGUAGGUUACGAAACCGGGCAGGAUGAAUAAGGAA
rnacentral:ncRNA from 1 species